GAUGAACGCUAGCUACAGGCUUAACACAUGUAAGUCGAGGGGCAUCAGGAAGAAAGCUUGCUUUCUUUGCUGGCGACCGGCGCACGGGUGAGUAACACGUAUCCAACCUGCCCUUUACUCGGGGAUAGCCUUUCGAAAGAAAGAUUAAUACCCGAUGGCAUAAUGAUUCCGCAUGGUUUCAUUAUUAAAGGAUUCCGGUAAAGGAUGGGGAUGCGUUCCAUUAGGUUGUUGGUGAGGUAACGGCUCACCAAGCCUUCGAUGGAUAGGGGUUCUGAGAGGAAGGUCCCCCACAUUGGAACUGAGACACGGUCCAAACUCCUACGGGAGGCAGCAGUGAGGAAUAUUGGUCAAUGGGCGCUAGCCUGAACCAGCCAAGUAGCGUGAAGGAUGAAGGCUCUAUGGGUCGUAAACUUCUUUUAUAUAAGAAUAAAGUGCAGUAUGUAUACUGUUUUGUAUGUAUUAUAUGAAUAAGGAUCGGCUAACUCCGUGCCANCAGCCGCGGUAAUACGGAGGAUCCGAGCGUUAUCCGGAUUUAUUGGGUUUAAAGGGAGCGUAGGUGGACUGGUAAGUCAGUUGUGAAAGUUUGCGGCUCAACCGUAAAAUUGCAGUUGAUACUGUCAGUCUUGAGUACAGUAGAGGUGGGC
rnacentral:rRNA from 1 species